rnacentral:lncRNA from 1 species
GGCAUUUAUAUGUAUUUUUUCAACCCCUAAAGCAGUUUGCAAUAAUAAAAUACAAUAUACGAUAUAUUUUGGAAAGUUCACCAUGCAUUUGGACACCUCUUUUAAGAUAUUGUAACCAAAUUCUGCAUCAUGGUUCCUGAGAUCAAGAAGUAAGUUUUCAUCUAUGUUUGGACACAACUAGCACCAUUUGAAUAAAGAUGGCAGACUGAACCUUUCAAAAUAACUGAUUUUAAUCGCUGGUUUUAACAACUGCUUUCAAAACUGCACUGAUUUUUUUGGGGUAGGGGUUAGAAUUCCCUGUUUCUUUCUUGUUUUCUUUAAAAAAUCAAAUGAAAGAGUGAGAAUGUAUGGAGUCACUGACCAUGAUAAAUAUAACAGUGGUGCAGUGAGAACAUGUUGGACUUGAAGGAGAGCUGAGCUCACAUUUAUUUACAGUGGUACCUCUGGUUGCGAACGGGAUCCGUUCCAGAGGCCUGUAUGCAACAUGAAAAGAGUGCUACCCGCAGUGGCACAUCUGCGCACACGCGGGUCGCAAUUCGCCGCUUCUGCGCAUGCACAUGAUGUCAUUUUGCGUUUCUGUGCAUGGGCGUGCGCCAAAACCCGGAAGUAACCCUUUCUGGUACUUACGGGUUGCCGCAGGACGUAACCUGAAAGAACGUAACAUGAAGCGGACGUAACAUGAGGUAUGACUGUAUAACAUUUUUAUCCCCCUGUCUUCCAAGGAACUCAUAACAGCUUGAAAGCUGUGCCCCAGUUUAUCCUCAAAAUAAUUCUGAAAGGUAGGUAAAACUGAGAAUGUGAGUGGGUCAGUGAGCUUCAUCAUAUCCAAGUGAAGAUUUGGACCAGGAUCUUCCUGCUUCAAGUCCAACAUUCAGGUUAAGGGUGCUGGAAAUUGCAGCUCUGUGAGGCGUAAACUACAGUUCCCAGAAUUCUUUUUUGGGGGGAGGGGACUAUGUGUUGUAGAUGUGUAUUGUAAAUGCUUUAAAUGAAUGCUGUGGGUGUGACCUGUGCCAGCUCUCAAAUUCUUAUUUAGCUGUUAAAUUCCUUGGGUGGCCUUGGACAAGUCACUGAUUCUCAGCCUAAUCUAGGCAUGGCCAAACUUGGCCCUCCUGCUGCUUUGGGACUACAACUCCCAUCAUCCCUAGCUAACAGUACCAGUGGUCAGGGAUUAUGGGAAUUGUAGUCCCAAACAGCUGGCGGGCCAAGUUUGGCCAUGCCUGCCCUAGUCUAUCUAACCAGGCUAUUGAGAGGAGAGUAACCCUCUAUAGGCAACCAAUCUCCAUGGAGGAAGGACAAGAAGAGUAUGCAUGCAUGUAUAUGAAAGGAGAUAAGAUUUGUUAGCCUUUAGUGUGCAUCUUGGCCUAAUUGCACUGAAAGUGUCCUGAAAAAUCCUGGAGACUGCUGGUGUAGAGUGGAGACUGGCAAUGAAAGAAGGACAAGUGCUGCAAUUCUGUGCUUGCUUGCUGGAGACUAAGUGUCACUGAAUUCAGCAGUUGGGAAACAAUGGAGGAGUGCACCUUUGGGGGUGAAGUCAAACUGUAGGAAGGUUACAGUGCCUGCUGUGGCUGUGGAGAGAGAGACAUGUUUUUGUUGCAGCUGGGGCAGAUGAAGGCAUCUGGCUGUGUGGCUGCAGAUGCACCAUGGUGUUUCUUCUCUCUGUGCUCCUCCAGCAUUCAUGUCAUGUUUGCAGACAUCUUUGUCAUGCAGAGCUGAUCUGCCUGUGGGCCUGGUGCCUGAAGCCAACUCUCUGUAGAGCACAUCCUUGGAAAUCCUGCCAUCUUCCAUUCUGUGGACAUGACCAAGCCAGCAUAGACAUACUCAGGAGUGCAAUUCUGUCCUGCUAUGUGAUGCCUCCAAUCUUCCUGGCAUCGCUCCUGGUGGUUGUAAGUUGCUCAGAAAGCAGCAUGCUCAACAUGCAGGCCUGGUAGACCUUCAUAUUGGUAUUGGACAUUAGCAUCACAUUCUCCCAUACCCUUUUGGAGAGGCAAGCCAUUGCUGUAGCUGUCUUGCCAAUACCCUUGUCCAGCAUCGAUUGAAAGGUUGCUGGUAAUGGUGGAACCCAGGUAGGCAAAAUCUCCUCAAAUGUGUGGUCACCAGAGCUGACGUAUGGAGUGCUGGUGAUGUUUACAAAUCCAGAGCAGAGUCCCCAAGAUGGUUGGAUGGCGUCUUGUACGCCUCCUUCCAGCAACUCCUGCAGCUAUGCUGGUGUCAAUGUAUCGCUUUGUUUUCCUUUGGACCACAUCAGUGAGGCCAGGAGCUGGGUCUUAUCAUCUGAGCAGCCCAGGAUCUCCAUACACAUAUUAAUUCAAAAGAAAUACAUGUACGGUCAGGUUGUUACAAACAUUACAGCCCUUGUGAGAAGCACUGGUGCUUGGAAAUAGUUUGGGUGGCCUUCAUGAUUGGAUGCACCAUAUGAAAUGACUCUUAGCAUGCUGAUCCCACAAAUCCCUCAUCUAUCGCAUGAUGCUACAUUGCCCUCUCGACCCACAAUUUUUUAAAAAACUAAGCAGAUAGUUGGCAAUGGAGGUGGACUGCGCUUAAUCCCUUUUCGGAAUCUGCUUGUGAGCGUCAUCAGGAGGAUCUGUUCCACAACUACGUGUUUGUAUGUUUGUUUGUUUGCUUGCUUGCUUGCUUUCUGCGCCUCAAGUUUUUAAGGUCCGUGUUUUGUGUCAAGGAGGCAAAGCAAAAGUCCUGGCGCGAGAAAAUGUUUGGAUGAUUAGCAUGCGCGGUUUCCUUUCA